CCGGGGAGGCGGGGCCUGGGCGCGCUCCCUAGGCGGGGAGCGGCGGCGGCCGGGAAGGAUGCAUCAGAAGCUGCUGAAGAGCGCGCAUUACAUCGAGCUGGGCAGCUACCAGUACUGGCCGGUCCUGGUGCCCCGCGGCAUCCGCCUCUACACCUACGAGCAGAUCCCCGUGUCCCUCAAGGACAACCCGUACAUCACCGAUGGCUACCGGGCCUACCUGCCUUCCAGGCUGUGUAUCAAAAGUUUGUUUAUUUUGUCGAAUGAAACAGUCAACAUCUGGAGUCAUUUGCUGGGUUUCUUUCUCUUCUUCACCCUGGGAAUAUAUGACAUGACAUCUGUAUUACCUUCAGCAAGUGCAUCCAGAGAAGAUUUUGUAAUUUGUUCUAUUUGUCUUUUCUGCUUCCAGGUCUGUAUGCUUUGCUCUGUGGGGUAUCAUCUUUUUUCUUGCCAUCGAUCAGAAAAAACCUGUCGAAGAUGGAUGGCAUUAGAUUAUGCAGGAAUUUCUAUUGGAAUACUGGGCUGCUAUGUCUCUGGAGUAUUUUAUGCAUUUUAUUGUAAUAAUUAUUGGCGACAAGUGUACUUGAUCACAGUGCUUGCUCUGAUCCUGGCAGUGUUCUUCGCACAGAUUCAUCCCAAUUACCUCACACAGCAGUGGCAGAAGCUCCGUUCUAUCAUCUUCUGUUCUGUUUCGGGAUAUGGGGUGAUCCCUACUGUUCACUGGGUUUGGCUCAAUGGAGGAAUUGGUGCUCCUAUUGUACAGGACUUUGCACCCCGAGUAGUUGUGAUGUACGUGAUUGCUCUUCUUGCUUUCUUAUUCUACAUUUCCAAAGUUCCAGAACGGUACUUUCCAGGACAACUAAACUACCUCGGAUCGAGCCACCAAAUAUGGCAUAUCCUUGCAGUAGUGAUGUUAUACUGGUGGCAUCAGUCAACAGUAUAUGUCAUGCAGUACAGACAUAGCAAGCCUUGUCCUGACUAUGAUUCACAUUUGUGAAUUCAGGUAUGGCCACCUGAUGUAUUCAGUUGUUAAGCAAUAUUUAAAUGGGGAAUUGUAUGCCCCACUAUUUCUAAGAUUCCCGUUAGGUUUCCCUUUUUCCUCUUGUUUAAUAUAUAAUGAGUAAUACUUUAUAAAAAUGGAAAAAUAUACUUGGGGAUCUGUAACAUUAACUACUUUAUGGGCCCUUAAAUCUACUAAUUUAUUGCUUGUACAGGAAGUGAAAAUUAGUUGGCAUUCAUAAAAAACAUCUGAUAACAACAAUGAAUGUGAAACCACUGUAGAAAUAGGAUUUAUUUUACUUAACACCAGCUUAAUUUCUUAGGAAGGGCUCACCUCCAUUAUAAAAUGGAGUCUUCCCAUGUGGUUACUUUAAUAGAAGAUAUUUAUAGUAGAUGAUCAAGUUUAAGUGCCUAAUUAAGGCAAGGGUUGCUUUAGCCUAUGCUUAAUAAAAGCUAGGAGAGUGAUUUUUGAAUAAUCAUGAGCCUUUUGAAUACAUUGUCAGAAACUGGCAGUUAAGAUAUUACUUCCUUUAGCUGUUUUUAUUAGCUAUAAGUUUUUUCCCUAGGAACACUGGAUUUUUAAGUUUGCUAAACAAAAAUUUUAAACCUCUUCUUUGAGAGGCAUUGAGAAGAGGAAAAAACUUCCCACCCAUCAGGAGUUAAUGCCAAGAGUCCGUCAGACUGAUCUACUGUUUAGAAGGAAAUGGAGCAGCACCAAAUGGGUCUAAUUCGACUGACUGGGAUUGUUGGGACGGAUGGGAAGUGAUGCUGUGCACCACAAGUUCAGUAAAGGGCACAGCACCAAAAUCAUCCAUUUUCAACGCAUCUACACUAUGAAAUGACCCAUGUAGUGAAUUAGGCCUUGGCCGCCCAGGCAGGGCAGGACUGUGGUCAGCACGGAUAUCGCUCAGGCCCUGAUGGGAAGGGUGCCACGGCAGGUCUGGAGGGUGGAAGGGCUUGGCACCAAAGGGGUCCAACAGACUCUCCUCCUGGGGCAGGACACUGCCCCUGUCUUUCCCAUCAGUCAGUGCAACACUGAUGUUCUCCUUGGAGUCUGAGAUGGUUAAGAAUUCAUUGCUACUUUGAGAGUCUCGGCGGCCCACUUUUUUGUGCCUACGAGCCCUCUCUGGAGUGCGAUAGAUAGGCUUCACAGUCUUCUUUGUGCUAGUUGGCGUGCCGUGAUGCCGCUUCCCAUUACUCUUUGACAUGUCCUGCUUUGUGCGCCUUUGGCGAGAAGACAGUUUCUGUAAGCUGCGCUGCUUGACUUUUUGUUGCUGAGUCCCAGUUAUUUCCUCAAAUGGCACAAGCCCAAAAAUAUCCUCAUUGCUUUCACUUUUACUUGUUGGUGCGGGUAAGGGCUGAAAUGGUGUGAAGCCAAAUAUAUCUACAUUUUUGGGACAAACAGGGAGAGUGUGUGCUUCAGGCGCCUGGCAGUCUGGUAAGUUUACCUUCUUGCUAAAGGGGGCCUUCGUGAAAACAUCAAACUCCUCUUGCUCUAGCCCCUCAGUAAGAAAAGGCAUCUGUUUAGAGAGGUUCUUUUCAUUCUCUCCUUGCUGGGACUGCUGCGCACGCACUGCGGAGAAUGGCACAGCGCCAAACACAUCGAACUCUUGUUUGAGGAUCUCCACUCCACCAUCAGGGGGCGGCUGGGCUGGGGCGAGGACUGUUGAAUUACGAUCUGGGACUGGCCCACUGCCAGGUUUGUCUCUGUAAACAGGGCUCGUGUCACUGUAGUCUGCUUUGACCUGCUCGUAAUCAGAAUCCGAGCUAUGUUUCUCCUCUUCCUCCUCAUCUUCGGAAUCCAUGAGGAGAGGCCGAUGACCCAGAUUUUCAGGCUCAGUAUCAUCGUCAAUGAAAUCUCCCUGCUCCCCCUGAAGAACCUCCUCAUCUUCUUGCUCUUCCUCCUCACUACUCUUCGGAGAAGGUGGAUCUGACUCAAAAUCACUUUCAGAUUCAUCAUUCCCCUUCUGCACAUGACCCUGUACUGACAAAUUCUCUGAUGUUUUCUUUGCAGGCCGGUGAUCUUUAGAUACUGGGCUUGCUUUCCUAUUCUUGAUAGGGGCUGCAGUGUUCUUUUCUUGAUUCAUGGAUGAAUGUUCCAUUUUCUUUUCUGGAGAACCUGAAAAUUCAAAGAAAAAUUAUUACAGCUCCAAUACAUUUCAAAAGCCAUUUGCACUGAACAUUAAUACGUGCUAACAUGAAGCGUUACAAAUCCCUCAUACCAGUUUCCACAGUUCUUUAUCAUUAAGCUUAGGGAAUGUACUUUCCUCAACUAGAUGGUUGGGUCCUACCCUUUAAGCCACCUACUCAUCAUAUUUGUCCAUCACUGACAACUGAAUUUUAUUUGUUGCAUCCAGAAAAGAACUCUUAAUAGUAGACAAGGAUCUCCUACCAUCAAAAUAAAGCUAUUCCGCUAAUUCCCCCUGGUGAGAUUCCACAUCCACUAAACAACCUUCUGCUUAUAUUUCAACUCUAUUAUAAAGUUAUAUAACUUGUAUGUUAAUUGCUACAUAUACCAUGUGUUGUUUCACUGUAAUCUUUUUAGUUAGCAAUUUGGGAUUUUUUGUAAACUAGUAUCUUAUGAAUUGGGUUAGAUACACAUCCCCAAAGCCUGAUCAAAGCUAAGGAUCAGGCACUGAAUUGAGGCUCCACCAAGGGCAUCUGCCCUCUCUGGAUGAUAUACCCUUCCUUAACUACAAAUCUAUACUACUAGAAAUGAAAGCAUACUGCCUUUUCAAAUAAUCUUACUAUCAGUAUGUUCACUGUAUGAUAGGCAAUAAAAUUGCAUCAAAUA